GAUGAACGCUGGCGGCGUGCCUAAUACAUGCAAGUCGAGCGAACGGACGAGAAGCUUGCUUCUCUGAUGUUAGCGGCGGACGGGUGAGUAACACGUGGAUAACCUACCUAUAAGGCUGGGAUAACUUCGGGAAACCGGAGCUAAUACCGGAUAAUAUUUUGAACCGCAUGGUUCAAAAGUGAAAGACGGUCUUGCUGUCACUUAUAGAUGGAUCCGCGCUGCAUUAGCUAGUUGGUAAGGUAACGGCUUACCAAGGCAACGAUGCAUAGCCGACCUGAGAGGGGGAUCGGCCACACGGGAACUGAGACACGGUCCAGACUCCUACGGGAGGCAGCAGUAGGGAAUCUUCCGCAAUGGGCGAAAGCCUGACGGAGCAACGCCGCGUGAGUGAUGAAGGUCUUCGGAUCGUAAAACUCUGUUAUUAGGGAAGAACAUAUGUGUAAGUAACUGUGCACAUCUUGACGGUACCUAAUCAGAAAGCCACGGCUAACUACGUG
rnacentral:rRNA from 1 species